rnacentral:rRNA from 1 species
UACGUAGGGUGCGAGCGUUGUCCGGAAUUAUUGGGCGUAAAGGGCUCGUAGGCGGUUUGUCGCGUCGGGAGUGAAAACCCAGGGCUUAACCCUGGGCUGGCUUCCGAUACGGGCAGACUAGAGGUAUGCAGGGGAGAACGGAAUUCCAGGUGUAGCGGUGAAAUGCGUAGAUAUCUGGAGGAAUACCGGUGGCGAAGGCGGCAUCCUGGACCAUUACUGACGCUGAGGCGCGAAAGCUAGGGGAGCAAACGGG